rnacentral:ncRNA from 1 species
AGUCCUAUGUGGUUCGGUGGAUGCCCUUGCUAGGGUCGGCCCGCGAUGUGUGAGGGAAGCCGGUGUGAGCCCGGCACGGUCCUCGCCACUGUGACCGGGUAGUAGAUCCCCUCGUGGGCCACUGGGCGUAAGCCUGGGAAGGCCGGGGUGAGCAUUGACCCGGGAGUCAGGAUACCUCCACCCGCACGCCAUCGAU